rnacentral:rRNA from 1 species
CCCUAUGGGGUGCAGCAGGCGAGAAAACUUUGCAAUGUGCGAAAGCACGACAAGGUUAAUCCGAGUGGUUUCUGCUAAAGGAACCUUUUGCCAGUCCUAGAAACACCAGUGAAUAAGGGGUGGGCAAGUUCUGGUGUCAGCCGCCGCGGUAAAACCAGCACCUCAAGUGGUCAGGAUGAUUAUUGGGCCUAAAGCAUCCGUAGCCUGCUUUGCCAGUUUUCGGUUAAAUCCGUACGCUUAACGUAUGGGCUGCCGGAAAUACUGCAAAGCUAGGGAGUGGGAGAAGUAGACGGUACUCGGUAGGAAGGGGUAAAAUCCUUUGAUCUAUUGAUGACCACCUGUGGCGAAGGCGGUCUACCAGAACACGUCCGACGGUGAGGGAUGAAAGCUGAGGGAGCAAACCGGAUUAGAUACCCGGGUAGUCCCAGCUGUAAACUAUGCAAACUCGGUGAUGCAUUGGCUUGAUGCCAAUGCAGUGCCGCAGGGAAGCCGUUAAGUUUGCCGCCUGGGAAGUACGUACGCAAGUAUGAAACUUAAAGGAAUUGGCGGGGGAGCACCACAAGGGGUGAAGCCUGCGGUUCAAUUGGAGUCAACGCCAGAAAUCUUACCCGGAGAGACAGCAGAAUGAAAGGUCAAGCUGAAGACUUUACCAGACAAGCUGAGAGGAGGUGCAUGGCCAA